rnacentral:ncRNA from 1 species
UUGAUAAUAGCAAACUGCGCGAAAGUGCAGGACGCAAAGCUUUAGAGCCUAACCCGCAUUGCGCGGUAUGGUCGUCAGUUGCCAA